GAGUUUGAUCAUGGCUCAGAUUGAACGCUGGCGGCAUGCCUUACACAUGCAAGUCGAACGGUAACAGGUCUUCGGAUGCUGACGAGUGGCGAACGGGUGAGUAAUACAUCGGAACGUGCCCGAUCGUGGGGGAUAACGAGGCGAAAGCUUUGCUAAUACCGCAUACGAUCUACGGAUGAAAGCGGGGGAUCUUCGGACCUCGCGCGGACGGAGCGGCCGAUGGCAGAUUAGGUAGUUGGUGGGAUAAAAGCUUACCAAGCCGACGAUCUGUAGCUGGUCUGAGAGGAUGAUCAGCCACACUGGGACUGAGACACGGCCCAGACUCCUACGGGAGGCAGCAGUGGGGAAUUUUGGACAAUGGGCGAAAGCCUGAUCCAGCCAUGCCGCGUGCAGGAUGAAGGCCUUCGGGUUGUAAACUGCUUUUGUACGGAACGAAAAGCCUCUUUCUAAUAAAGAGGGGUCAUGACGGUACCGUAAGAAUAAGCACCGGCUGACUACGUGCCAGCAGCCGCGGUA
rnacentral:rRNA from 1 species